GUGAACCUCACCCGGCCCGGACACCGCGAGGAUUGACAGACUGAGAGCUCUUUCUCGAUUCGGUGGGUGGUGGUGCAUGGCCGUUCUUAGUUGGUGGAGCGAUCUGUCUGGUUAAUUCCGAUAACGAACGAGACCCUAACUAGCCCUCGGGUCCUGCUUCUGUUGGGCCCGACGGAAUGAUUCGCUUCUUAGAUGGACUCGCGGCGCCUAGCCGCACGAAGGGGGGCGAUAA
rnacentral:rRNA from 1 species